GUAUAUGAUGGUGAUCUGGCUGUGAUAUCUAUCUCCCUAAUGAUUUCCAGGAAUUAUAAUAUUGAUCUGACUAUCUACUCAAGUGUUACAUUUCUCUAUCAGUGUUCACUUGUGUGUCCUUUCUGAAACUAUAUUCUCAUUUGAAGAUAACNAUCUUACCCAAUAGAGAAGGAUCAGCCUCUGGCCAGGAAUUUAUGAGUAGGUAUGCUCACCAACUAUAGCCUUCAAGAAGUUCUAAGNGACAUGCAUUAUUGUUAAACAGACUGUACAACAUACUAUAUUCAGAGUGU
rnacentral:snRNA from 1 species